rnacentral:rRNA from 1 species
UACGGGGGGUGUAAGCGUUGUUCGGAAUUACUGGGCGUAAAGGGCGUGCAGGCGGUCACCGCAAGUUGAAUGUGAAGUCCCUGGGCUUAACCCAGGACGUGCGUUCAAGACUGCGGGACCCGAAUACGGGAGAGGAUCGUGGAAUUCCUGGUGUAGAGGUGAAAUUCGUAGAGAUCAGGAGGAACACUCGUGGCGAAGGCGACGAUCUGGACCGAUAUUGACGCUGAGACGCGAAAGCGUGGGUAGCAAA